CCUCAUGGUCAGGCGGAUGAAAUGUCAAAAGCUGUUAAGGUAACCCACCCUGCGUGUAUCCCUGAGAGAAAAAAAUGGAGCAGCGAUUUCCAUCAAUAACUCCCUGUGGAGAUUUGGAAAGGCUCCAUGUUCCCUUAAAGUACUUGGAAUUACUUCAGUCAGGGAAGCUGUCACAUCACUCAUAAAGUGCCUGUAGAGCAGCAACACUGCAGCGCCGAGCUGGUGCAGUGCACCCACAAAGAGGAUCAUUUUUAUCCUCCUUCCUUGCCAGAACCACAUUUGCUCAGGGACCUCCAGAGGAAAGCGGAUUUCUGGAAUAUCUUUGGUAACUGUGGUCCUUGGUCCCUCUUCAAUCACCUGCCACCAUCACAGACAGUUGCUCCUCACUCCUGGGCUGAAGAUGAGACCCAGAUCAGCCUCAGGCACAAAAGCAGGAGAGAGGCAGAACUUGGUUACCUCAGCUCAGAGCCACAGUCCUCAAAAAACCUUUGUGGAUGCCACUUCUCCUUGGAUAUGACCAACAUGGCCUUUGCCUCUCUUCAGGCAGCUGAAACAGGCACCUGCACACCUCAGGAGCAUUUUUGAGUGGUGCUCAAAGCACUUUCAAGUGAAGUCCCCAGAUGACAAUAAGGCAGGGCAGCCCUGGGCACACAGAAGUGCUGCUACAGAUGCUUAAACAGAUUUUGAACCCAGACACUCUGGGGGUUAGGCAGCAGCAGAUUCAUGUUACAGUUUUGUCUGCAAGACCUAACUUUACCUCUGUUCUUCUUUGGGAACCCAAAUCUUCCUCUGGAAUGAGUCUAAACCUAAACACGCUCUUGCCAGGAGCAAAGCAUCUGUCCUGUUUCCAUUCACUCUCUCCCUAUCUGGCCUGGAACUAAUCAGCCCCACAUGUCUGUGCUGUGCAGCAGUAAUUACCCUCAACCUCAAAGCAGGGGUUUCACACAUGGGCCUGGGAGAAGUCAACAGAAAAAUCUCUACCAAGAACAGAUGUGUUCACUACUGGCUGGUGGGCAAGGGCUCCAGGGGGAUCCUGGUAGCCCAAGAGGAGCAGGGGUUACUCAGUCACUAAAUGGUUCCAUUAAAUGGUUCCUUACUGUGCUCAGCUCUCUCAUGGGCCUCCACCCGACCCACUGUGUGCCCCCUGACCAUCUGAGUGCUAUUUCCAGUCCCUCCUGGUGUUGACUUUUGGUGUUUUCCCACCAAACAAACCAGCAUUGACAUCCUGAAGAGUUGACAGAGAUGUCUGUCAAGGGGGCAAUAACUUAACUUCCUUCUCCUGAACUGAACAGCCAGGCAGCCUGUGACAACAAGAGGAAAAAUGA